GUAUGUCCUUAACCUUGGCACAACAAAUCUCUAAAUCGAUUGAGACCUGUCUCAGAUACUUUUUGGUUUAUAAGAUGGGGGCUGAAAUUAAAGAGAAAGCUCCUCACUCAGCUCACAAAGGAGCAGAAUGGGAAGAGGACUUAGUGAGAAUUCCCUGAACACAGGAGAAAACCGAAGCCCAGAGAGUGGAUGGCCAAGUCCAAGGCCACAUAGCCAAGUGCAUCUGAGCAGCGCAGGAUCCAGGUUUCCUGCCCCAGUGCUGUUUCUGCAGCCCGUGCCACCUGUUUUCAUACUAUCUCGGUUCACCAUCCAGCUACACACCUGCAAUCAGAAACAGAAAGUCUGAGAGUGUGUGUGGAGCCAAAGAGGGGACAGCAGUGGUGCGGCCAGUUUCAUGUCUUGUGAUUUAUUUUCUCCCUUUCUUUUUGGACUUUAAUCUUAAGUGGACAGCAGUUUGGAACAGUGCCAGCACCUUGUUGGAUUGUGCUGUUUGGGAGAGGUGACACAGAGUAUUUUAAAAGAGCAGGUUAAGAACUUUUCAUAAAGAAUCAAUUGAGAAAAAAUAAAAUAGAAACAGAAUGUCCCACAUUUGGGCUGAGCACCAAACAAAUUUUUUUUUUUUUUUUUUGAGACUGAGUCUUGCUGUGUCACUCAGGCUGGAAUGCAGUGGUGCGAUCUCGGCUCACUGCAGCCUUCGCCUCCCAGGUUCAAGUGAUUCUUCUGCCUCAGCCUCCCAAGUAGCUGGGAUUACAGGUGCCCACCACCACGCCAGGCUAAUUUUUGUAUUUUUAGUAGAGACGGGGUUUCACCAUGUUGACCAGGCUGGUCUUGAACUCCUGACCAAGUGAUCCACCUGCUUCGGCCACCCAAAGUGCUGGGAUUAUAGGCAUGAGCCACCGCACCUGGCCUCAAACAAGCUUUUUAAUUGCAUUCAGAAGUGCACCAACUAGGCACAGACCUCUGGCAUGGAAACAGAAUGGGAGGUUCUUGGUGUCUGGCCUGGUCUUGCAGAAAUCAGGGAGUUGCCGGGACCAGGCAGCCACUGUGCAUCAGAUAGGAGUUUCAGCAGCAGGCAACAGAAAGCCUGCCAAUGUAGCUGAAAUAAGAAGGGCUUAUUUUUAUCCCUGAACAGAAGCUUCCAGCACUGGUUCAUCAGGUCAGGGCACUGAGCUGGCAUCCCCAUUUAUACAGUUUUCCUUUCCUUCACCUUUGUAAGAUGCCUGGCACAGCUCUGAGCAUCAAAUAUCUGUGCCAUGUGGGAGCACACGAGGGGACAAGUGGGGAAUAGGGUCUCCUCCGUCCUCUGUCCCCAGGCUGGCUUCUCUCAUGGUAGAAGGACCCCCACAGCACCAGGCCUCAUAACUACCCUGCUGGUAAACUGCAGGUGCUGUCAAGGCUUCCUGCCUUCGUAUAUGAAAUGUUCCUUGACAGCUGGACUGCUGUUUACCGCACGCACCGCUCUGCUGCCUCUUGGUUGCACCAGUGAGCUAUUGCUCCAUGACAAACCACACCGAAAUGUAGCAAGUACUUAUUGUUGCCCACAUGUCUCAAGUCAGUUGAGUGUUUCUGCCAAUCGGGGCCUGGCUUGGCCCACCUUGGCUGAGCUUGCUCUGGUGCUAGGGUCAGCUAGACAGGUUGGCAGGAGACCAGCUGCUCUAGAAGAGCCUGGACAGGAUGAAUUGGUUCUCCUUCCACGUGCAUCUUGCAUCCCUCCAGCUAAGUAUUUGAACCCAGGUCUCAUCUGACUCCAAACGCACCAAGAAGAUGGAGCCUAGAGUGACACAGAGGAAGAGGCCCCUGGAUGGAUGCAUGGGGAAGGUAGAGGCAGGUUUCACCGUGUUAGCCAGGAUGGACUCGAUCUCCUGACCUCGUGAUCCACCUACCUCGGCCUCCCAAAGUGCUGGGAUUACAGGCGUGAGCCACUGCGCCCAGCCACCUAUGUCCUCUUUUCUACAGGUUAGAAGCAAGGCACAAGUCAUACCUACAUUCAAGGAGAGGAGACCAUGCAAAGGAUAAACUUCAGAGAGACAACAGAUUUACAUCCCAGACACAUUCACACUGGGCAAAGAGCAGCUGCCAUUGCAGAUUUGAGUCACGUCCUUUUUUCCCUCCUUCUCCUUCUUGGAGUUACAGCAGAAGCUGGGGAGGUGAGAGUGCAGAAAGGACAUGGAUGAAGCAGAGAGGCAUGUGCCUGUCUCAUUCGCCUCUGGAUCUGCUGCAUCCAGGACCAUGUCAGCACAAAGUGGGAGCCCGAUAAAUAUUUAUUGAAGAAAUGAAAGGUGACAAAAGGCAGAAGGAGGGAGACCCCCAAAAGAGCAGCACAGGAAGCUGCCCCCUCAAACCCUAAAGGCUCCUGGAGCUAUUCACAGUGCUGGGGAACAACCAGAGGAGGAGGAGGACAGAAGGAGAGAACAUUUUUUUAAAAAUCCCAAACAAAACCAAAUUCUAUACAUGUAUAUCUCGAGUGAGUAAAUGUGUAACACUCAGCA
rnacentral:sRNA from 1 species